UACGGGGGGAGCAAGCGUUGUUCGGAUUUACUGGGCGUAAAGGGCGCGUAGGCGGCCACCGCAAGUCAGUUGUGAAAUCUCUGGGCUUAACCCAGAAAGGUCAACUGAUACUGCGGGGCUAGAGUGCAGAAGGGGCAACUGGAAUUCUCGGUGUAGCGGUGAAAUGCGAAGAUAUCGAGAGGAACACCUGCGGCGAAGGCGGGUUGCUGGGCUGACACUGACGCUGAAGCGCGAAAGCUAGGGGAGCGAACGGG
rnacentral:rRNA from 1 species